rnacentral:rRNA from 1 species
CUUCUUGCUGGCGACCGGCGCACGGGUGAGUAACACGUAUCCAACCUGCCCUUUACUCGGGGAUAGCCUUUCGAAAGAAAGAUUAAUACCCGAUAGCAUAAUGAUUCCGCAUGGUUUCAUUAUUAAAGGAUUCCGGUAAAGGAUGGGGAUGCGUUCCAUUAGGUUGUUGGUGAGGUAACGGCUCACCAAGCCUUCGAUGGAUAGGGGUUCCGAGAGGAAGGUCCCCCACAUUGGAACUGAGACACGGUCCAA